UACGUAGGGUGCAAGCGUUAAUCGGAAUUACUGGGCGUAAAGCGUGCGCAGGCGGUGAUGUAAGACAGUUGUGAAAUCCCCGGGCUCAACCUGGGAACUGCAUCUGUGACUGCAUUGCUGGGGUGCGGCAGAGGGGGAUGGAAUUCCGCGUGUAGCAGUGAAAUGCGUAGAUAUGCGGAGGAACACCGAUGGCGAAGGCAAUCCCCUGGGCCUGCACUGACGCUCAUGCACGAAAGCGUGGGGAGCAAACAGG
rnacentral:rRNA from 1 species